UACGUAGGGUGCAAGCGUUGUCCGGAAUUAUUGGGCGUAAAGAGCUCGUAGGCGGUUUGUCGCGUCUGCUGUGAAAACUCAGGGCUUAACCCUGAGCCUGCAGUGGGUACGGGCAGACUAGAGUGUGGUAGGGGAGAUCGGAAUUCCUGGUGUAGCGGUGGAAUGCGCAGAUAUCAGGAGGAACACCGGUGGUGAAGGCGGAUCUCUGGGCCAUAACUGACGUGGAGGAGCGAAAGCAUGGGGAGCGAACAGG
rnacentral:rRNA from 1 species